GACGAACGCUGGCGGCGUGCCUAAUACAUGCAAGUUGAGCGAUGAAGAUUGGUGCUUGCACCAAUUUGAAGAGCAGCGAACGGGUGAGUAACGCGUGGGGAAUCUGCCUUUGAGCGGGGGACAACAUUUGGAAACGAAUGCUAAUACCGCAUAAUAACUUUAAACAUAAGUUUUAAGUUUGAAAGAUGCAAUUGCAUCACUCAAAGAUGAUCCCGCGUUGUAUUAGCUAGUUGGUGAGGUAAAGGCUCACCAAGGCGAUGAUACAUAGCCGACCUGAGAGGGUGAUCGGCCACAUUGGGACUGAGACACGGCCCAAACUCCUACGGGAGGCAGCAGUAGGGAAUCUUCGGCAAUGGACGAAAGUCUGGCCGAGCAACGCCGCGUGAGUGAAGAAGGUUUUCGGAUCGUAAAACUCUGUUGGUAGAGAAGAACGUUGGUGAGAGUGGAAAGCUCAUCAAGUGACGGUAACUACCCAGAAAGGGACGGCUAACUACGUG
rnacentral:rRNA from 1 species